CAGCAUUUGAGUUAUAGCUUGAAUGAAGUUCAUUCUCACUCUUUUUAUUUCGUCAUUAGGAGUGGAGGUAACAGAUGCCUAGUUGGAAGUUCUCCUCUGGAAAGAGUAGGCAAUAAAAAGAUUAAUAAAGAAAGUAAAGAAAGAAAAUUCUGCAACUGAUAAGCGUCUGAAAUAAAAACAGAAAAUGCCAAAGAGCUCAGCAGGUCUGUGAGAACCUGUGGAGAGAGAAGAAUUAUUAAAGAUUCACCAGAUCUCUACCAGAAAAGGUAGAGUAAAAUGAAGUUCUACCAUGCAGAGAAAAUGAGCAGAGGAAGAGAAAAUAGAAGAGUAGGUUUUGAGUGAGAGAUUGGAUGACACAAGGAAGAGAGGCUGUGAGAAGAUAGUGGGGGCCCAGGAAAAACAAAAGAUGGAUGAUCUACAGCAGGAGUUGCAAGUUCCGAUACAGAAAGGAAAAUAUUGGGCCAUAUUGGGUCAGACAUCCGCGAAACAGAAAAAAAAACAAAGAAUGUGUGACAGAAGCACUGGAAUCCAAAGCAUCCCUACCCCACGCACAAAGCAGUAGAAAAGCCAUCAAUCCUUGCCUCCACCUGAUCCAACAAAAGCAUCAACCCUCUACCAUCCACCAUGUAAGCAACAGCAAUGCCUCAAAGAAACCAUGAUCUAGAGUUCAUCAAAAACUACGUCCAUCCCAACACUCAGACAGGCCCUCUCUCUCUCACUAGCGAGAGGGAAAGAGAUAUCACUCCUGCAACAAUGAGAGGGAAGACUAGAAGCUCGCUGUUUCGAUGUUACAAUCUGCCAUGUCGCUUGUCUGAGUUCCGAGUUCCCCCCUACUCGAGGACCAACAGACUCUCACUCACCAUCGAGAGAGAGAGAGUUCAAGUGUAGGAGCCUUCCAACAGCAGCGCUCACUGCCUGCUACCCCAAUGUUUCAAUCUGCCGUGACGCUUCAGUCGACCACAUCGAUGACGAACCGAGUCGCUCAAUGUAACCUGAAGGGGAAAAAGCUGAAUCAGCACCUGUAUCCUUGGCCAGGGCAGUGAGAGAUGCUAUCUGAGAUGCUGAGAACCUCAGGCAUUUUCUACUUAUGUUGCAAAAAUCCAAGUUGACUAUUUCUGGGUCAGUUUUGAGCAGGAUCUUUGCUACCCAUUAGAAAUGUACUCCAGAGUUUACAAUGUACCAUGGGAAGGAUGUUCUUUGAAUUUUUUUCAUGAUAAAUUGCAUCUCGUACCGGGAAAAAAAUGGCUGAUUUAUGAAGCUCUCCCAUGGCCAGCAUUAAGGCACCUUGUCAGAGAGGGGAGAAGAUUAAUCUGCACAUUAAUCAUUUGUUUUUCUAAAACUGGGAUUCUUUACAAAAAAACAC